rnacentral:rRNA from 1 species
AUUGAACGCUGGCGGUAUGCUUAACACAUGCAAGUCGAACGAUGAGAAAGAGCUUGCUCUUUCGAUUAGUGGCGGACGGGUGCGUAACGCGUAGGAAUCUACCUAUUAGUGGGGGACAACUUAGGGAAACUUAAGCUAAUACCGCAUACGCCCUACGGGGGAAAGAAGGGGAUCGCAAGACCUUUUGCUAAUAGAUGAGCCUGCGUAGGAUUAGCUAGUUGGUGGGGUAAAAGCUCACCAAGGCGACGAUCCUUAACUGGUUUGAGAGAAUGAUCAGUCACACUGGAACUGAGACACGGUCCAGACUCCUACGGGAGGCAGCAGUGGGGAAUAUUGGACAAUGGGCGAAAGCCUGAUCCAGCAAUACCGCGUGUGUGAAGAAGGCCUUAGGGUUGUAAAGCACUUUCAACUGGAAGGAAAACCUCGAAGCUAAUACCUUCGAGUUUGACAUUACCUUUAGAAGAAGCACCGGCUACUCCGUGCCAGCCGCCGCGGUAA